rnacentral:rRNA from 1 species
UACGUAGGGGCGAGCGUUGUCCGGAUUUACUGGGCGUAAAGGGUGAGUGGGCGGUUAUAUAUGUCAGGUGUAAAAGCUAUGGCUUAACCAUAGUAAGCACUUGAAACUGUAUGACUUGAGUGCAGGAGAGGUAAGCGGAAUUCCUAGUGUAGCGGUGAAAUGCGUAGAUAUUAGGAGGAACACCGGUGGCGAAGGCGGCUUACUGGACUGUAACUGACGCUGAGUCACGAAAGCGUGGGUAGCAAACAGGAUUAGAUACCCUGGUAGUCCCU